rnacentral:piRNA from 3 species
AGGCUGUGAUGAUUGGCGCAGGGGUACGGA